UAGGUCAAGCAGUUUCUGGACGAUGAUAGGUCGGCCGCCGCUUACGGGUGUAUAAAUACUCAUCGACUCGAGCACGCUCCCACCUCCCCUCCCACCUCUAGCUUUGCAGUUGCGUGCUCCUACAUGGAUCCCGUGCGGUUUGCCAUAGCGUCGCCACUCUUUCUGGCGGCGGCCGUGGUGACAGCCGCCGACGACGCACACCUGCUGGACGACCGACUUCAAGGCGGCGCUGCCUAACCAGGCGUCGCUCGACGGCUGGACCGCGCGCGACGGCGCCUGCAGGUUCCCCGACGCGGUGUGCAGGGGCGACCGCCUCACGUCGCUCUCGCCCUCCGCCGUCCUGCUCAAUACCGACAUCCGCACUAUCGCGGCCACCAUGCUGCAGCUCAGCGCGUCGAGAGGCGGCGGCCAACGUCAGCGAUGCGCUCGCGGCGGCGGCCGGCGGCUGGUGCGGCAGCAAGCUCGAGGUGCUCAACCUCUCCGGAAAUCCCGUGCUGCGCGGUUCCAUCGCCAACGUGGCCGCGCCCUCCGGCUACUGCAGUCAGUUGAAUCUGUUCGGUGAUGCAGUUGGUGCAGACAAGGACGCUGGCGGUGGCGGGCAGGGGUUUGCGGCCCUGGACGGCUGGAUGGUGGGUGCCGGCCUCGGGUCUGUCCGGUGGCUGGGCCUCGCCUGAAAUAAGUUCCUCCGGCGGCCUCUCGGACUUCACCAACUGCUCCGGGCUGUAGUACCUUGACCUGUCCGGCAACCUCAUCGGCUGCGAUGUGGCCGCCAGGGCGCUCUCCGGCUGCCGCAGUCUUAGAGCGCUCAACCUCUCCAGCAACCAUCUCGCCGGCGCGUUUCUGCCGAACAUCGCUGGCCCUGUGUGUAGUCCUCGCCUCUCCGUCCGCGGAGACCGGAGGCCAUGGUGGCGAGCCGCCUCGGCAUGGUGUCGCAGCACGAGCGGCGGAGAGCGCGGCCUCGCUGUUGGUUCCUUAGCUCGACAUGACGGUUGCAGCAUGUUUCUCGCGCCCGCCCAGACUGCAGGUGAUCCACCUACAGCCUGCGUCGUCACCAUGGGGAACUAUCGCCUCAGUGGUGUCCAAGAUCGGCAAGUACGUCAAUCCUGGGGACACGAUCGACUAGAUGAAGAAGCUGUUGGAGAGAAUCUGGCGACUGCAGGAGCCGAGCCGGAUAUGUCGCUGGGUAGUCGCCGGUGAUGGGGCGGUCAGCGGAGGACGCGUGCUUUAUACAUGCCCAAUUCUUUCUUCUGGUCUAGCUCCUCACCGUCGCCCGGCUGGACGUCAUACUUAGUUUUGUGCCGUAUGGUGGUUGCUCUCUGGAUCGUAUUGAUGUUCGUCGGUGGCCGCUGUAAAAUUGUGGAAGGCUGGUUUUUCAAUUUGGUCCGCUGUGCCGAACACUGUCGGUCUGGUGGUUAUUAUAUAAAGCUGAAUAUACACCCCAACCUGAACUAUCUCUAUUGCACAGAAAAAUUCAUCAUAAUCACUACAUCAACUGCUAAUUCUCUUCAUGGGAUCACCACUUCUAUCAAGUGGAAUCAACCGAGCCGUUGCUUUAGAUGGAGGCAGCAGCUAUUACUACCAAACCUUGAAAAGCAAUUGGAAACAACCCCCAACCUUCUCCGACAGUAGUAGAGGUAAUUUAUAGCCUUGGUAAUCCUCAGAUUAAGCAAGCAGAGUAUCAGAUUACUAGAGGAUGAAAACGAUAUGGCGCGAACCAAGAAGAGAGAAGUCAAAUGUCAGCGGGAAAAUCAA